UACGAAGGGGGCUAGCGUUGCUCGGAAUCACUGGGCGUAAAGCGCACGUAGGCGGACUCUUAAGUCAGGGGUGAAAUCCUGGAGCUCAACUCCAGAACUGCCUUUGAUACUGAGAGCCUUGAGUUCGGGAGAGGUGAGUGGAACUGCGAGUGUAGAGGUGAAAUUCGUAGAUAUUCGCAAGAACACCAGUGGCGAAGGCGACUUACUGGACAACUGUUGACGCUGAGGUGCGAAAGCGUGGGGAGCAAACAGGG
rnacentral:rRNA from 1 species